rnacentral:rRNA from 1 species
GACGAACGCUGGCGGCGUGCUUAACACAUGCAAGUCGAGCGGUAAGGCCCUUCGGGGUACACGAGCGGCGAACGGGUGAGUAACACGUGGGUGACCUGCCUCUAGCUCUGGGAUAAGCCUGGGAAACUGGGUCUAAUACCGGAUAUGACUCCACGGCGCAUGUUGUGGGGUGGAAAGCCUUGUGUAGGCUAGAGAUGGGCCCGCGGCCUAUCAGCUUGUUGGUGGGGUGAUGGCCUACCAAGGCGACGACGGGUAGCCGGCCUGAGAGGCGACCGGCCACACUGGGACCUGAGACACGGCCCAGACUCCUACGGGAGGCAGCAGU